UGGAUUGGAUUGGAUUGGAUUGGAUUGUCGUUGAAUUUAGGCGGAGUUGCUUGACACAGUCGAUAUACAUAUGCAGUCGACAUUGCCGACAUCGUCACACAGGUAUAUAACAGUCUUAGAAUAUGAUCUAGACGCGAGUGUCCCUUCCUGAAGCCACUUUGGUGUGGUUUGAUGUGGUUGCCAGUUUCAAGAUGAUGCAUGAGCCUUUUCGUAACCAUGGCUUCCAUGGCUCGAGGGAUUUCCCCACUGGCUGACUUGGACAGGCUCAGGUUGAACAACAACAAAUGAACAUUGCAGCUUUGAAUGGUUGGAUCACCAGUAGGAUGAGGAGACAAAGAACAUGAAAGAAAAAGUGGAGACCAUCAAGGGUAAAACGGGAAAACUGAAAGACCGAUUGAAGUAUUACACUGGCAUUACAUGCAUAACGGUUGUAUUUCCAGAUGAUGGGAGAUUUGCCAUAACCUAUUAUGUUUAUAAUUCCUUUUAAAAAAAGAAAGUAAAAUAUCCUUAAAUAUUCCAAGUCCAUCGGUAGUCAGAUACUUUAUUCCAGUAUUUUACUCAUCAAGGAAUACAUUAAUGUAGGGAGGCC